ensembl:lncRNA
AAUGGCUGUGUCACUGCUUUGCUCCUGCGCAAUGCCCUCACACAUGGGAAUACCUGCUCCCACUUGAGGUGCUGCUCCCCCAACCUACUAAGCAUGAUAGCUGGGGAGUAAGGGCACGCCCACGCCCAGCAGAUCCUUCCUCCUCAUUCCACACAACUUCCUGCAGAGAUGGAAAGACAGAGCGAAGAGGACAUCUGGGAGGGAAAGGAGAUGCUCCAAAGCAGGUUGAACCCACAUCCAUCUCGGUUCAGGAUCCUCAGACUUCACAGUGCGGAUACCCAGACUUACCUCUGGGUUCCUACUCCUUGGAACCUCUGCUGACCUCCCUCCCGGCUCCUCUAAGUCUUCUGGGGCAAAUGGUGUUCUCCCCUACUCACACCACCACACUGUCUACAUGAUCUCCAGCUCCCCAUGAGCCCAUGAGCCCUGGAGAAAUGGGAUUGAGUGUCUUAUACCCAUAUCACCAGUAAUUUACACAAUGCUUGACACAGAACAGAUGGUUAAAAAAAUGUGGGUAGAUGAAUAACAACACAUGGAUGAAUUAAAAAAAUUAAUUGAUAAAGCCAGAUCUGGUUCAUUUACCAUUUGCUGCCCUGGUAGUUUAGGAAAAGUCUAUUUACUACUCUUCUGGCUAUUUUACUCAUCUUCAUAUGUGGAAAGUGUUAACACCCUGUUAAAAAGGUAAACUGAGGCAGCUGGGCGGGGUGGCUCACGCCUGUAAUUCCAGCACUUUGGGAGGCCGAGGUGGGCAGAUCAUGAGGUCAAGAGAUCAAGACCAUCCUGGCCAACACGGUGUAUUUUUAGUACAGACAAUAAGUCAUUAUUGUGGCUCCAAGGCACUAAGUUUUGGGGUAAUCUGUGAAUAGCAGUAGAUAACUAAUUUAGCCACCUCUGGCAAAUUAGUUACCCUUUUCUGCCUCCGUUUUCUAAUUCUCUACAAAGUCUGCUCUUGAACAUCAACAGGUGAAAUGAAAAAGGUAACAGAUGUAAAGGGUCUUCUGCAUAGUGUGUGGUGUGUGAAAGGGUCUGUACUAAAUUUUAAUUAGACAGGAAGAAUAAGUUCAAGAGAUCUACUUCACAUUAUAGUGACUAUAGUUAAUACCAAUAUAUUGUAAACUUGAAAAUUGCUCACAUAAUAGAUUUUAAGUGUUUCAACCACACACACAAAAAUCAGCUGGGCGCGAUGGCUCACAUUUGCAAUCCCAACACUUUGGGAGGCUGAGGUGGGAGGAUCGUUUGAGCCCAGGAAUUUGAGGCCACAGCGAGGCAUGAUUGCACUGCUGCACUCCAGCCCAG